rnacentral:rRNA from 1 species
UGCGCAGGCGGAAUGAUAAGUCAGUGGUGAAAUCCUACGGCUCAACCGUAGAACUGCCAUUGAUACUGUUGUUCUUGAGUACAGUUGUAGUGGGCGGAAUAUGUCAUGUAGCGGUGAAAUGCAUAGAUAUGACAUAGAACACCGAUCGCGAAGGCAGCUCACUAAGCUGAAACUGACGCUGAGGCACGAAAGCGUGGGGAGCGAACAGGAUUAGAUACCCUGGUAGUCC